rnacentral:rRNA from 1 species
UACAGAGGGUGCAAACGUUGUCCGGAUUUAUUGGGCGUAAAGAGCGUGUAGGCGGCCUGAAAGGUCAGCUGUGAAAACUCGAGGCUCAACCUCGAGACGUCGGUUGAAACCAUCUGGCUAGAGUCCGGAAGAGGAGUGUGGAAUUCCCGGUGUAGCGGCGAAAUGCGCAGAUAUCGGGAGGAACACCGGUGGCGAAGGCGGGUCUCUGGGCCGAUAUUGACGCUGAGGAGCGAAAGCGUGGGGAGCAAACAGG